GCUGUGAUGGCCGAGUGGUUAAGGCGUUGGACUUGAAAUCCAAUGGGGUUUCCCCGUGCAGGUUCAAACCCUGCUCACAGCG
rnacentral:tRNA from 1 species